rnacentral:rRNA from 1 species
GAUGAACGCUGGCGGCGUGCCUAAUACAUGCAAGUCGAGCGAACAGACGAGGCUCUUGCUCCUCUUACGUUAGCGGCGGACGGGUGAGUAACACGUGGAUAACCGACCUAUAAGACUGGGAUAACGUCGGGAAACCGGAGCUAAUACCGGAUAAUAUAUUGAACCGCAUGGUUCAUUAGUGAAAGACGGAUUUGCUGUCACUUGUAGAUGGAUCCGCGCCGCAUUAGCUAGUUGGUAAGGUAACGGCUUACCAAGGCAACGAUGCGUAGCCGACCUGAGAGGGUGAUCGGCCACACUGGAACUGAGACACGGUCCAGACUCCUACGGGAGGCAGCAGUAGGGAAUCUUCCGCAAUGGGCGAAAGCUUGACGGAGCAACGCCGCGUGAGUGAUGAAGGUCUUCGGAUCGUAAAACUCUGUUAUUAGGGAAGAACAAAUGUGUAAGUAACUAUGCCCGUCUUGACGGUACCUAAUCAGAAAGCCACGGCUAACUACGUG